UACAGAGGGGGCAAGCGUUGUUCGGAAUUACUGGGCGUAAAGGGCGCGUAGGCGGCCUGCUAAGUCGAACGUGAAAUCCCCGGGCUCAACCCGGGAACUGCGUCCGAUACUGACAGGCUUGAAUCCGGGAGAGGGAUGUGGAAUUCCAGGUGUAGCGGUGAAAUGCGUAGAUAUCUGGAGGAAUACCGGUGGCGAAGGCGGCAUCCUGGACCGGCAUUGACGCUGAGGAGCGAAAGCCAGGGGAGCAAACGGG
rnacentral:rRNA from 1 species